rnacentral:rRNA from 1 species
GAUGAACGCUGGCGGCGUGCCUAAUACAUGCAAGUCGAGCGAACGGACGAGAAGCUUGCUUCUCUGAUGUUAGCGGCGGGCGGGUGAGUAACACGUGGAUAACCUACCUAUAAGACUGGGAUAACUUCGGGAAACCGUAGCUAACACCGGAUAAUCUUUUGAACCGCAUGGUUCAAAAGUGAAAGACGGUCUUGCUGUCACGUCUAGAUGGAUCCGCGCUGCAUUAGCUAGUUGGUAAGGUAACGGCUUACGAAGGCAACGAUGCAUAGCCGACCUGAGAGGGGGAUCGGCCACACUGGAACGGAGACACGGUCCAGACUCCUACGGGAGGCAGCAGUAGGGAAUCUUACGCAAUGGGCGAAAGCCUGACGGAGCAACGCCGCGUGAGUGAUGAAGGCCUUCGGAUCGUAAAACUCUGUUAUUAGGGAAGAACAUAUGUGUAAGUAACUGUGCACAUCUUGACGGUACCUAAUCAGAAAGCCACGGCUAACUACGUG